UCUGAGGCAGCAUGAGCUGGCAUUUGGAAACGAUUGGUGUACAUGAUUGCCUCUGGACAAAUUAAGAGACGAACCGAUUUGGCCUUCCCGAAUCUUAGAUGGUGACUGUGGCAUUUAGACUACCCCGAGGGGUUCUGGGAUCCCCAAGCAUCCAGUUUACCAAGGCCGUUGUACUGAGGUUUUAUCCGAACUCCGUUUCUGCACAUCUCUAACUUGCCUCCGGGACAGAAAGUGCUGACGGGAGCAAAGCAGAGGAGGGAAAACAACUCUUAAGGAUCUACAUUGAUUGCGGGAACAGGUAAUCCGAAUGAAGCUACAUGUAAAGACCAAGCCUGAGUUAUCUGAACACACACCAGCUGGACAGUGGGAGGAAACAGCUAAGAAGCCAGUCUGGGAAAGAACAUUUGCCUUGGGUGACUGAUGUGCAAAUAAUAAAGAGUGGCUAUGGUUUGCAGCCCAGUUGUCUCCAGAAGGUGACAGCAUUAAGGUCACGAUCCACUAGUGGUGUGCCCUGGAAUUUGCAUACUCUUACUAAAAGUCAAAGAGUCUGAGUCAAUCUAAAAUUAUGGCAGCUGAUUGCAAAAAUGGCCCCAGUUACGCUGCCCCAUGCAGUCACGAGCUUACUCUAUGACCUGUAACUCUUCCUUUCAAGUAAUAGAACCUAUUUCCUCCCUUCUUGACCCUGGACUGGACUUUUGACUAGUUUGGGUCAUUAAAAUGAAGCAAAAGUAGUAUUGUGCCAUACGCAAGCCUAGGCAUCAGGAGACCUCCUACACUUCACUCCAUCUCUUGGAGGACUGCCACGGACGUGAGCCUGAACCUGGCCUAGCGGCUGGGGUGACGGCCCUGAGCUGGAGCUCCAGGUGUGCAGGAAGGCCCAGCCAAGAUCAGCAGAGCCAAUCUGCCAACUGAGGGUAGACACGUGAGGAUUAACCUGGGAUCAAAGCUGUCCAUCUGACUCCUAC